GAAACCCUUUAAUACAGUUACUCAUGUGGUAACCCCAACCAUAAAAUUAUAUCGUUGCUCCUUCAGAACUAAAACUUUGCCAGCGAUAUGAAUCAUAAUGCAAAUAUCUGUGUUUCCCAAUACUCUUAAGUGACCCCCCCCAAAGGAAUCUCAACCCACAGGUUGAGAACUGCUGUCCUAGAAGAUACUGCUGGUGGGUGGUGCUGGUGGCCAUAUCCCAUCCCCCAGCCAGACAACCAAACCCCUCUAGAUGGAGCCAGCUGUCUUUUUAGCCAGUGCAGAAUCGCCCCAUGUGCGCAUGACUAUAGGCCUUACUUCCCAUAGACAAACCCACAGUUGGGCUGGAUUCAUUUCCUUCAGGGCCCCAAGGGAGGAACAACUGAGAACACAGCUGCCCCGUGGGAGGGGCCUGAGCCAGUGUCAAGGACAGUUCACAGGCAAUGGGAAUCAGUUCAUCAGUGAGGAGCAGAGAUCUGUCCUCAAAUCACGAUGAAAGCUGACAGGAGACUAAGAUUUUUUUCUUCAAAGCUCAGCUUUCUUCUCCACUGCAACUCACAACUGCCAUCUACCAGAGCACCAUACCUUCUGUGUCAAAGGGUAAUGUUACACUUUCCAUUGCUUUCUCAUUGGCUGAGAACAGAUGUUGAUCACUCACGUUUAUGGAGCGAAUCUGAGUGAGGGUUGUAACGACCACAGCGAGUAUAAGCAGAGCCAUCCCUACCCUCUUCCUGUGGCUGACCACCUCCAUCUCCCAGAUUCCUUUAGGCUUCUGCGUCUGCUGGCCCAGGAGUGGAGAUUGUGGGGUCCCGACACAGAGACCUGACCUACUGGCUCUGCAGCUGAUGGCUCAGGACGCCGAGCAGAGGUGAAUAUAUGAAUGGUUGAAGCCAUUCUGGAUUGUUUUAGCAGUGGAUGGUACAUGAGACUGCUUUCUCUUUGGUUUCCAGGUUCCAGAUUCUGAUAGGGGUAGCCUACGAAGCUCAGAGCCCACGGACUAGCUGUGUCUUACAAGUGCUCUGUGACUGAAUGAAUGUACUGGCUCUGCUAAUUAAUUCCUUGCUGUGUCUCUUGCAAGUUUUAGAUGACAGAAUGAUUAUUGGAGUUCAUUAUGAGCUACAAAGUGCUCCUAAGUGCAUGGGAGUGUUGUGUUGGAUGGCAGUAAGAAGUUCACCAGCAGCUCGCCGGGCCUGUCAGCUAAAUGGCCUACAAACUCAGCCUGGCUCAGGACUGCCAUACUUGCACAAGGAGCCGAAGUCAGAAGUUGGCCUUGUUGAUCGACAUAUUUUCCAUACACACCUGUCAGUCAUUUACAAAGACUUGAACCCAAGGCCCUGUCUACUUGAAGUCUUGAAGAGGACCUGGCUCUCUAAUCCUGGGAAGGACUGGAAUUAAAUGUGUGUACAACCAUGCCUGGCUACAGCAGCGUAAUUUCAAGAGUUCCAAAUUGGAUGCAGCCCAAGCAUCCUCCUCAGACAGAACAAGUAGAGAUAAAUUCAAAUGAUAGAACGUUGCAGACAACGACAAGAAAGAAGCUAGUUAUACCAACAGCGUGGAUGAAAUUUGCAAACAAAGCCAAGUAAAGAAGACCGUGGAGUGUUUGUGUUCUCUGAGUUUGUCCAUAGAUCGAAAUAGAGAUGGAGACAGGAACUCUGAAAUCAGGCAGCUGAUGCACGACGCUAUGCAUUUGUCACAACCCAUGGAAAUUUAUGUCACGAACACUGAACUUUAAUAUAUACAAGGCUUUUUUCUUUCUCCCUUUUUAAAAAAAUAAAUUAGGAUGGCAAAACACAAUGUUAUCUGUAACAAAUAAAUAUGUUAGAAAUACAUUGCGUGACAAAACUGAAGCAUUGCGGGAUGGUGAGAGCUGACCUGAGAAAGGCUGGAAAACGAUGCAGCACUAACGACAAAAUGACCCGUCCUCAAGGAUCCUAUAACUGAGAACUGAACCUAGGAUGGACUGUACCAGAGGAUUAGCCAGUACCUGAAGACUGGCCAUACCCGAGGACAGAACUUUAGCUGACCAUUUUGCUUCUCAUUGGGACAUAGGCUGGCUAUUCUAAAGUUACAUUAUAAGCAAUCUAGAAUUGAACAUAUACGUUAGUAAGUGGUAAGAUUUCGGAAGCCAGAUUUCUCCCCAUAACAGAGACAUGCACAUACAGGGCGGUAAGGCUAGGAUGUAUGCACUGACAUUGGAUUCAGGCCAGGGUAUAAUAGGGAUACAGAAGGAGGCAAAAAUAAUUACAACUCUGGAUGCACAGAGGGGUUACGUACAGUCGUACCUUUCUUAGUUGUGUCCAUCGACAGUUGCAUGAUUUGGCCAAGCUGUGGGCUUAAACAAGUGCUCUGAGUACAUUCGGGGCAGGCUGGGCAUCUUUUAUUUUCUUUUAUUUUUCUUGGAUAUUUUAUGUAUUCACAUUUCAAAUGUUAUCCCCUUUCU
rnacentral:sRNA from 1 species